UACGUAGGGUGCAAGCGUUAAUCGGAAUUACUGGGCGUAAAGCGUGCGCAGGCGGUUUUGUAAGUUUGUCGUGAAAUCCCCGGGCUCAACCUGGGAAUGGCGAUGAAGACUGCAAGGCUAGAAUCUGGCAGAGGGGGGUAGAAUUCCACGUGUAGCAGUGAAAUGCGUAGAGAUGUGGAGGAACACCGAUGGCGAAGGCAGCCCCCUGGGUCAAGAUUGACGCUCAUGCGACGAAAGCGUGGGGAGCAAA
rnacentral:rRNA from 1 species